rnacentral:sRNA from 1 species
UAUCAGAAAAUCAUAAAUGAAGCCCGAAA